GAGACAGCUCGUCAUGCUGAGGAACGGCACGUACAGAAGCAUGUACCAGGGAGAGGAGGUGAGGCUGCGCAGCGGGAGUCAGGCUCGGGAGAGGAAACACCUUGCUCUGUGCAUCACUAACCAGCUCUUCUGAUCGGGCAUUUCCUCAGGCUGAUCGGCAAGUGGAAGCUGCAGCUAAACAGCAUAGUUGUUUGAGCGCAUCACCUCGCUGCAAUCAAAUCCUCUGAGAUCAGG